AGGACUCUGAAGCAUGCCAUACCCACCACUGUCCUACAGGACUUGUCAGCCAGGUGGUGGAACUUUCCUCCCAGGCCAGUAAAGAAGCAGCUUUGACAAACCAGGAAGUCUGGGAAGAGACAGAGGCCACCCUCACCAGCAGCCAGUGAUACUUCAGUCCAGAAGCCUGCAAGGGACCAUAGUCUCCAUCUGGGACAGGACGGAUUACAACAGGCCUGACCCUUGGUUGCCUCAGGCAGCCAGUGCUUCCUGAGGAUUUCCUAGCUGCCUUUUCUGUUCAUCAUUGUGUAUUAUUGCAGUAAUAAAAAACCUAACAAAAACAUAUACCAUUUUAUCUCUGUAAUCAAUAGCAAUUAAAAUUGUUCUAGAACAGUC